rnacentral:rRNA from 1 species
CCACUCCACUCGAAGUCCAGCAUUGAGUAUGGCUACUGGAUUUGGCCCAGAGAGGGUGAAAGGCCCGUACGGGUGGAGGUUUCAGACAAGUAAGGCAAUUCACCAGGCCGGCCUUAGAGUCGGGUUGUUUGGGAAUGCAGCCCAAAGUGGGUGGUAAACUCCAUCCAAGGCUAAAUACUAGCACGAGUCCGAUAGCAAACAAGUACCGUGAGGGAAAGUUGAAAAGUACUUUGAAGAGAGAGUAAACAGUACGUGAAACCGCAUGCAGGUAAACGGGUGGCGUCAAGCUGCAAGCCCAGAGAAUUCAGCCAGUUAGAGUGUAGUGUAUGCGCCUGCGCAUCAAUCAGUCGGUAUAAGAAUGAAUGGUCUACUGGAAGACAGUGGGCCCUGCCGCAAGGUGGGGAUGUGUGUACCGGGUGGAAGCCGGAGCACGCCGUUCGUCUGUUGGACUGUCUAGCUGGUGCACUUUCUCUGUGGUGGACACCACGACCAGUGGUACUGCCAGUCUGCUGUGGUCAAGUCGUAUUUGGUGGGUCCUUGUGGCUUACCGGGUGCGAUGACGGGCAAAUUCGGUGAACGGCGUGAGUGUACCAUUCGGUGUGCUUACGUGUUAUCGGCUACUGGUUGCCUUAACGGGUCUGCUAGACGAUUGUCAUAGCUGUCGUUUAGUGGCCUGGUCGACCAUGGUGGUAUGAAUAACUGUGCAGGGCACUGGAGUGCUCGGCCUCAAAUGCAGUCUGCAUGCACGCUAUGAGUGUGUUUGCAUACGGGUGCUGUUGCGGCUGCCUGUUAUUGAGUCUGAUUGUCGUGUCGCCUGCGCAAAGUGGGCCCGGCAGUGGCUUGGUGCAGGUCGGUGCUGUGGAUGGUGCUCGGAGUGUAGGCUGUGGUGGGCCUUAUAGUCUGUGGUGUAGUGGUAGACGAGCUACCCGACCCGUCUUGAAACACGGACCAAGGAGUUUAACAUGUAUGCAAGUCAAGGGGUCCUACGAAACCCAAAGGCGCAGUGAAAGUGAAGCUUCGAGACUUGUCCUCGGAGUGAGGUGAGAUCCCGUCGUUACUCGCAUCAGCUUCAGUAGCAGGCUUAAGAGCGGCGGGCGCAUCACCGGCCCGUC